rfam:Bombyx mori DNA, contig: Bm_scaf4_contig4113, strain: p50T/Dazao, build 2, whole genome shotgun sequence.
AAGAAAAAAAAUUGUAUGGAGUUGGAACGUUUGCCUACGUUUGCUGCUAGGGGCGCUGUUCCAACUGCAUACAAAUUUGAGUUA